rnacentral:rRNA from 1 species
AUUGAACGCUGGCGGCAGGCCUAACACAUGCAAGUCGAACGGUAGCACAGAGAGCUUGCUCUCGGGUGACGAGUGGCGGACGGGUGAGUAACGUCUGGGGAACUGCCCGAUGGAGGGGGAUAACUACUGGAAACGGUAGCUAAUACCGCAUAACGUCGCAAGACCAAAGUGGGGGACCUUCGGGCCUCACACCAUCGGAUGUGCCCAGAUGGGAUUAGCUAGUAGGUGGGGUAAUGGCUCACCUAGGCGACGAUCCCUAGCUGGUCUGAGAGGAUGACCGGCCACACUGGAACUGAGACACGGCCCAGACUCCUACGGGAGGCAGCAGUGGGGAAUAUUGCACAAUGGGCGCAAGCCUGAUGCAGCCAUGCCGCGUGUAUGAAGAAGGCCUUCGGGUUGUAAAGUACUUUCAGCGGGGAGGAAGGCGGUGAAGUUAAUAGCUUCACCGAUUGACGUUACCCGCAGAAGAAGCACCGGCUAACUCCGUGCCAGCCGCCGCAGUAA